AUUGAACGCUGGCGGCAGGCCUAACACAUGCAAGUCGAGCGGUAGAGGAGGUGCUUGCAUCUCUUGAGAGCGGCGGACGGGUGAGUAAUGCCUAGGAAUCUGCCUAGUGGUGGGGGGAUAACGUUCGGAAACGGACGCUAAUACCGCAUACGUCCUACGGGAGAAAGCGGGGGAUCUUCGGACCUCGCGCCAUUAGAUGAGCCUAGGUCGGAUUAGCUAGUUGGUGAGGUAAUGGCUCACCAAGGCGACGAUCCGUAACUGGUCUGAGAGGAUGAUCAGUCACACUGGAACUGAGACACGGUCCAGACUCCUACGGGAGGCAGCAGUGGGGAAUAUUGGACAAUGGGCGAAAGCUGAUCAGCCAUGCCGCGUGUGUGAAGAAGGUCUUCGGGUUGUAAAGCACUUUCAGCGAGGAGGAAGGGUUGUGUGUAAUAG
rnacentral:rRNA from 1 species